ensembl:lncRNA
UGACUGCAGUUAGAGAAUAUUUCCCAGAUAAUUAGCAUCAGUUUUUAAUGAGUGUUUGUAGCCAACACAGUUUGCCUUUUCACUAGGCUAUAGCUUUGACUCCGAACUUCGUUAAUAGGCUAUAAUAAAUUCGAGUAGGCCUAUUUAAAAUAUAUAUAGCCUAUAAUUCGAACGAAUAUUAGGCAGCCCUUAAUAUUCAAUGAUGUUAUGGGCAUUAUUUUUUGUAAAUGUGUUUGCUUGAACAUUCUAUUCAGAUUCCGAGGCUUCUUCACGUGAAGUUGUGAAUCUCGAGCUCAUUAGGCAUACUAGCAUGUUAUAAAUAUCCUGGCCAUGGAUGCAUUAAUCAUUGCAUCUGUCUUUCAAAGAUGUCUGGUAAAAAACAAAUAAGCAUCCUGUCCUUCGCCCAAAGAGGAAAGCCCCCUAAAAAGGCCAGAUUAGGCCCAGAGAACGUAAACACAUUAGAGGAGGAGAUGGUGGAAGAGGAAGAGACAGUACAGGUGGAGGAGGAGGAGACGGUGGAAGAGAUGGUGGAAGAAACAGUGGAGGAGAUGGCUAGAACAAAAGGGAGAAUAGUCCCAGGAGCAGCCACCUACAAGACCUCUUUUAAUAGUGAAUGGACCUCUAAAUGGCCAUUUAUUACUGUAGGAAGCACCAGCUCAUAUUACUGGUGCUCUAUCUGCCGCCAAGAGAACUUCUGUGCCCAUCCAGGUGUGCGGGAUGUGACAAAGCACAUAGGCAGUAAGGGGCAUCAGGCCAAACAGCAGGCACUGAAGUCAACCAGCGCAGUCAAAAACUUUUACUUGCCAGUGACUGCAGAGAUGAGUGUGCAAGAGGUCAAGGUACAUUUAAAUGCAUAAGGUUGACUACAAUGUUCAUGAAUACCAUUUUUCCUAAUUAAUACAUCCAAUUCUAUGACUAUGGCAUAUAUAAUGGGAACCAACACCAAAAAUGAUAAGAGUCCAAAAAGGCAACAAACACCUAUAAUAAACAACACAAGUCAUAAUUCUCUCUCUCUCUCCCAAAUUGAAUUAAUACUUAGUAAUUGGUUGAAUUGUCAGUGCCAUGUGUCAAAUCUUUUCUGCAAGUCUGAUCAAUUAUUAACAACAACAAAACACUAAUAAUAAUAUGGGGG